rnacentral:rRNA from 1 species
UACAGAGGUCCCAAGCGUUGUUCGGAUUCAUUGGGCGUAAAGGGUGCGUAGGUGGCCUGGUUAGUCGGGUGUGAAAUCCCGGGGCUCAACCCCGGAACUGCACUCGAUACUGCCGUGCUGGAGUACUGGAGAGGAGACUGGAAUUUACGGUGUAGCAGUGAAAUGCGUAGAUAUCGUAAGGAAGACCGGUGGCGAAAGCUAGUCUCUGGACAGUCACUGACACUGAGGCACGAAGGCUAGGGGAGCAAACGGG